rnacentral:rRNA from 1 species
GACGAACGCUGGCGGCGUGCUUAACACAUGCAAGUCGUACGAUGACCCGGCUCUUCGGAGCUGGUGAUUAGUGGCGAACGGGUGAGUAAAACGUGGGUGAACUGCCCUGCACUCUGGGAUAAGACCGGGAAACUCGGUCUAAUAUUGGAUACGACCAGUGGCCGCAUGGUCUGCAGGUGGAAAGACCUUCGGGGUGGUGUCGGAUGGGCCCGCGGCCUAUCAGCUUGUUGGUGGGGUGAUGGCCUACCAAGGCGACGACGGGUAGCCGGCCUGAGAGGGUGUCCGGCCACACUGGGACUGAGACACGGCCCAGACUCCUACGGGAGGCAGCAGUGGGGAAUCUUGCACAAUGGGCGAAAGCCUGAUGCAGCGACGCCGCGUGAGGGAUGACGGCCUUCGGGUUGUAAACCUCUUUCGGCAGGGAACAAGCCUGGGGGUUUUCUUCUGGGUGAGGGUACCUGCGGAAGAAGCACCGGCUAACUACGUG